rnacentral:lncRNA from 1 species
CCAAAUUUCCAAAGAUGUCAUGUCAAAAAGCAUUUUCAACAGUUUGAUUUAUCAAGAUGGAAAUAAGAAUGCACUCAGUUGUGGUUGGUUGAUGUCUCUUCAAUCUCUCUUAAUCCAUAGGUUCUCUUUCAUCCUUCUCUCUUUCCUUGUGAUGUAUCAUUGAAGAAGGCAUGUCAUGUAUACCAUAGAUUGUCCAGAGUCCAGGCUUUGAUUAUUGCAAAUCCAUGAUGUAGUUAAACAUAUUGCUCUGUUUUCUGUAUUUCCUGUAUUUGAGCCUAGAAGUUUGAUCAGAUUAAGAUUGGGGGGGGGGUAAUACUACUUCAUACUAGGUGUUGUGUUCUCCCACAGAAAGGACCUAAUGUCUAGUUAGCUUCCUUCUUAUGACAUUAGCAGCUCUUGAUGCUCAAUGCCUACAGCCAGUAAUUCCCUGGGGGUUAAACAUGGUGGCAUCCCAUCAUUUCUUCUUCAUUUAUUAGCUGGAUUACUUCUAUAAAGAGAAACUUCCCUCAUUUACUCUCAGUUCCCCAAGGGAUUAUCUCGUAAAUUCUGUGAGAAUUCUGGGUACAUGUGAUUAUCUCCACUUCCGUGUGAGCAAACUGAGGUCAGUGGAGUUAAGAGAACUGUCACCAGAACUGUCCAGCUGAGCCCCGUGCAACUCACGAAAUCAUAAUAAAUAAACAGGAGUUGUUUUAUGGCCCCAAGUCAGGCAGAGCCCAUGAGUAGCUAGCAAGGUUGAAGAGCUCCCGGGCCCUUUACUCCCUCCAUAAGGAGACAGAUUUGCAGAGUCAUAAACAUCACCCAAUUCAGCCUUUUCAUGCUCAGAUGGGGGAGCUGAGGGCUGGAGAUGGUAAUGACUCAUGCAGGCUUGCACAGGUAGCCAAGGUAAUGGGCAUAUUGUUAAAGGAAACCUCUGAAAAUUCUUGUGAUGAGUUCCAGUGUCUUUGAUGGCUGUGUCUGAUGCUCUCAUUCUACAGCCCACUUGUACCCGCAGCACCAGGCCUGCCUCUCAACCUCAUCUUACUGUUGUGUCCCCAAGAAGCAUCUGUUGAAUGGAUAAAUGAAGCCUCAGCACCUGUCGCAUUCAAAUCAAAGUUUUGCAGAACCAACAUAACAUCUCUACGGAACCCUAGUGUUCCACAACGGACACAAUUUGAAAACCACUGCAAUAAGAUAAAUUCCUGGUGUAAGUGACCAAAAGUCAGCUGGAGGAAGCUUA